rnacentral:misc_RNA from 1 species
UCUUAGAUAAAUGGACUUUGAAGAGUAAGUUGGUUUAGACUGGGUCACGAUUUGAGUUAGGCUUGGAGUCGGUCUGGUCAAAUUCGAGAUUAAAAUUGAUUAAUGGUUUACGAGUUGGAAUCAUAUUAGAACUGUCUUGGGGGAUAGUCAGUCUUGGUCCCUCCCCUCCUUGAAUUGGACUGGAUUAUAACUGCUGGUUCGACCAAACGGUCUCUGUUCGAACCUAGGGAAGGAAAAAAAGUUCUUAAAAAGAAUCGUAUCAAAAUAAAAAUCCUUUUCGAAUUGGAAUCAAAAUCUGGUCAAAUUUGAGACCAAAAUCAGUUAAUGGUGUUCAAAAUUGAUCAUUGGUUCAUGGGUUAAAACCAUCUUGGGAGAUAGUUAAUCCCGAUUCCUCCCUAACAGGAAUAGGAAUUGUAGGAAAUUGGCUCUUAUGGUCCAGUCCAAUUCAAGUCAUAAAACCGAACCAGAUUUGCCCGUGGCCUGAACUAAUUUGGUUUUUCACCUCCAUAAUAUAUAUCGUUUCACAAAAUUGAUCAACCUCCAGGUGUCCUAGAACAAUUACAGUUAUUGAAAACAAGAAAAGUGAGUAACUGAUUCUAGAAAUUCAGGGUUUUACAGAAUGGUUAAGCGUUAAAAUGAAAAAGAAGAAAAGAAAAAUAGAAGUUCAAAAUUAUAGAAUGUACUCUAUGAUGUUGAAUUGAGGAUAAGGG